rnacentral:rRNA from 1 species
GAUGAACGCUGGCGGCGUGCCUAACACAUGCAAGUCGAACGGGGUUAAGUGAAAUUUUCGGAUGGACCUUAACUUAGUGGCGGACGGGUGAGUAACGCGUGGAUAACCUGCCUCACACAGGGGGAUAGCAGCUGGAAACGGCUGGUAAUACCGCAUAAGACCACGGUGCCGCAUGGCACUGAGGUAAAAGAUUUAUCGGUGUGAGAUGGAUCCGCGUCUGAUUAGCCAGUUGGCGGGGUAACGGCCCACCAAAGCGACGAUCAGUAGCCGGCCUGAGAGGGUGAACGGCCACAUUGGGACUGAGACACGGCCCAAACUCCUACGGGAGGCAGCAGUGGGGAAUAUUGCACAAUGGGCGCAAGCCUGAUGCAGCAACGCCGCGUGAGUGAAGAAGUAUUUCGGUAUGUAAAGCUCUAUCGGCAGGGAAGAAAGGCCCUUUAAGGGAGAUGACGGUACCUGACUAAGAAGCCCCGGCUAACUACGUGCCAGCAGCCGCGGUAAAAC